rnacentral:rRNA from 1 species
ACAGAGGGGGCAAGCGUUGUUCGGAAUUACUGGGCGUAAAGGGCGCGUAGGCGGCCCGUUUAGUCAGAUGUGAAAGCCCCGGGCUCAACCUGGGAACUGCGUCCGAUACUGGCAGGCUUGAAUCCGGGAGAGGGAUGCGGAAUUCCAGGUGUAGCGGUGAAAUGCGUAGAUAUCUGGAGGAACACCGGUGGCGAAGGCGGCAUCCUGGACCGGCAUUGACGCUGAGGCGCGAAAGCCAGGGGAGCAAACGGGA